GUAAAUUAUGGAUCUUGCUGAAAGGGUAUCAGUCUAAAUAUCUAAGGCAUGUGAAAGCAAAUGAUACAUGUGUUGUGUUUUUAUCUGUUAUGCACGACAGUACAAUAAAGCAUAUGGACUUAAAUGACAUUCACUUUUUUAAAGUACCAAAGGCUGUGUUAGAUGACAUGAAACUGAAAGAUAAAUGAUGUUUCCUCAUUAUUCGAGCUGAUUUAGACAACAACUAUGAUCUGCCAUGAACAUUUUCCUAAAGGUGCCAUCAACAUUUCAAUUGUGACAAAGAAAUGGACACUGACGCCAAAUGUCGACCCAUCAGAUUUUAGCUGAACUAUAGAAUGUCUUCUGCAUGACCUGUUAUAGUAUUCUUGAAGGAUUACAACUUCAACACAAAGACGGAGAUUAGUAUUUUAGGCAGGGGUUGUCAUGAAAGGCAAACUCUCUAACCGUAUUACCAUUCCUGAACUGGUUGCCUGUCGACAGUGGUACCUGUAUAAUGAAAUAGCGCCCCUUUGCAGCAACAGCAGUGUAUGCUCAUAAUCAGCAGUGUCAAUGCCAUUAAAAUUGAGAACUCAGUCAUUUAAAACGAAGAAUGAAUGGAAAAAGGUGUUUAACAUUUAAAGUAAUACAGAGAAAGAGCUCAGCUCGUUUGGUAUUUUCUAAAAUUUUAAUUAACUUGAAAGUGUUUUUUAUUUUUUAAAGAUGUACUAGACCCAAAUUCCAUACAUUUGAAUAUGAACAAAUGCUACAUAUAGUUUAUGUUAACAUUGAAUUAACAGUACAAUGCAUUGGUUAAAUAUAGACACACUGUAUGUAUGUAAGGCUGAACACAGUAUUAAUGUGAAAAUCCUUUAAAACACUGGAAGAUUUUUCAACAAUCUACUGUUUAGUACUGCAUGACAUAAAAUCAUGAAUGUAGCUCUACAUACGCAGUUGAUUUAUACAUUAAGCAAAGUUAAAUAUAUUCAAUGAUGAUUUUCUACAUUUGAAGUAAUUAUCUAAUUUAAAAUAUUAAAUAUUUUAGUGAAGAUAUAUUUUAUGCAAUUAUAUAAAUUGAAAAAUGCUACCCUCCAGGAAGAAUAUUUUGAAGUGAUGCUUUUACUUGAAAAUUUAUGUAAAAAAUGAAGGAAAUAAAAUGAAUUCUUUAUUUCAUAAAAAUGUUGUUGCCAUGGAAACUGAACCUGAGUAUUAAGUAUAUCUGCUUUCAUAGCAGAGUAAUAUGACCUUUGAAUAUAAUUAUGUAAACAAUUUGAUGUUAUAAAAUCAUCACUGAUACUUUUGAUAUUCAAUUGACACUGUCAUUGAGCAAUGCCUCUUACAUUUGAAGUUGAAUGACACAUUACAAAUAUUAGAUAUUUAUUGAAUUGCUUUUAGAUAUUUUUUAGAUGAAUAUAAAUCAGAAAAACCACAAAUUCUUGUUCUUCUAGAGAACUAAUAUAUAUUUUAUAAAUUUACAUUUUUUUUUUUUUUGCAUCAAAUGUAGGCUAAAAUGUUUGUUGAAUUGACAUUUAAAGCAAUUGUUGUAUUUGGUUGCUAUGGAAACUUGAAUUAAGACAUCUUUUUGAAUAUGAAAUAGCAUAUUUAUAGCAAGUAGGCAUUAUCAACUGUGCUAAUCGUGUUAAAUACUUUUGAUAUUGAUGGCAAAAUAUGAAAUUAAAAUAUAUGAUAAAAGUA
rnacentral:lncRNA from 1 species